ensembl:lncRNA
GCAAUCAACAAUGUAUUUUGUUAUUUAGCUGUUGCUAUUAAACUACAUACAUGCGUAAAGUACGUCCUAUAAGACAUCAUUGCAUCCAUUAACCAAUCAUAGAGUAAACUCGCUAUAUUCAAAUUAUAUUUACCUACAGUAUACGUUAGAAAAGUGCCCUUUUCUUAGUAACAGUCAACAAAUUACCAAGCAGUUUUGACCAUGAAUCAAGCUAGUGUGACAAUAUUAACCUGAUCGUCGAGAAGAUGUCAAACUGGAAGAGCCUAUUUAAAUUUGUAAAAAGGUUUUGUUUAAAGAAAUAUAUAUAUACCGGUUUCUGUAUAUAAAAAUAUGUAUAGGUUUCUGUUAUUUCGUGUCAGUGAUCUAAGGACCUUAUGUUUUGUUUUGUCUUUUUUAUGCCCAUCAAUGAUUUUGUCAAAGUCUGGAGCCACCACUGCUCCCAACUGGGAGUACCUGAGUCCACAUGCAGGUGGAUCACUUCCCCAGCACGUGAGUCUAGGGAAGCACUUGUCUAAACGCCUGACCAUCAACACCGGCUCCCCUCAAGGAUGCGUCCUGUCCCCCAACUCUUCUCCCUGUACACCAACAGCUGCACUUCCAGUCACCACUCUGUCAAGGUCCUGAAGUUUGCGGAUGACACCACCCUCAUCUGACUUAUGUCUGAUGGAGAUGAGUCCACCUACAGUUGGGAGAUUGCUGAACAUCACCUCUCUUACAAACAAUGCACAGCAGAGGAUAUAAUUCCUGUGACAGAUGAAAUAGAUACACAAACCUCAACUGGACAAAUCUUGCACCUUACAUAUUUUUUAUUUUAUUUAUUAAUGCUCGGUCUGCUGUUUUUAUGUUCAGUCCACUGUUUUGUUUUUAUUUCUCUUAUUCCUUUUAUAUAAAUUGUUGCACCAACGGGCCAGAACAAAUUCCUUGUUUAUUGUGAAACUUACUUGCCAAUAAAACUCAUUCUGUUUCUGAAUACAUUAACAACUACAAUUGAUCCUACAUAGGUAUUUAUUUUGUUAUUCAUUCCAGACGCAUGCAGGAAAAGCUAUGGACAAUAUUAUGUAAAGAUGAAUGAAGGCCUAUCCCAGUAACUAUACUUAAAGUACGUAGCAGAGUGUAUAUCCACUGCUAUUUAGAGACUGUGAGAGAGUGUGAGAGAGUGAGUGAGAGAGUGAGUGGUCUUACUAAACUCAUGGGGACAAAAUGUCCCAAUGAGUAUAGUAAAAACUGGACUCAUUGGGACCAAUGAGGCAAAAGUCAAUUUCCGGCACAGGGUUUAGGUUUAGGGUCAAACUUACAAUUUAUUUUAUAGUUAGAAUUGGGGUUUCUUUAAGGUCCAGGCGUUGCUGGUUAAGUUUAGGGUUAAGGUUAGGCAUUACAUCUAGGUAAAGUUUAGGCAUAAAUGUUACUUUAUUGAGUUUAGGUUUAAGGUUAAGAUUAGGGCAAGGAAGCAUGCAAUUUCUAUUUUCUGGUCCUCAUGAGGGUAGCUGUACAAACUUGUGUGUGUGUGUGUGUGUGUGUGUGCAUGUCCACAUGCUUCAAAUUAGGUUACUGUAUAAUUUCAUCAUCUCAAAAUGGUGAAGAACCAUUUGCUCUCUCUCACAGCUGCCCAGUAAAUGUCAUUCCUGCUCUUAGUGAACUGAUGGAGAAUAUUGUGUUUUAACAAUGCAAUGUUUCAAAGAACAAGUUAACUGACUUUUAUGUGUAUCCAAUAGAGCUGCCCUACCUCAGAUGACAAGUGAUUGGCAAAAAUAAAUGGGUAAUAUGAUAGCUGGAGCUGUAAUGUUUCACAAGAGGCCAAUAUGAAAGUUUUCAGUGAAGUCUUUGAUGUUAUUGAUCAUGAUGUGUUAUUGAAAACGAUGGCUUUACAUCACCUGCCAUAAAAUGUUCACAAACACAGACAGUCACAAAGGGUUUCUUCACUGUAACCAAACAAAAAACAAAUGGUUUUAAAGUGUUGUUUAAGUUUUGAGAACUGCGUGUGCAAUAGCUAAUAUGGAUCCUUAUAAACUCUUAUCAUGUAACAACGUUUUCUGUAUUCCGUUAUUCCUAAUAUUAAAAAAUGCAAUUGAC